GACGAACGCUGGCGGCGUGCCUAAUACAUGCAAGUCGAACGCACUCUCGUUUAGAUUGAAGGAGCUUGCUCCUGAUUGAUAAACAUUUGAGUGAGUGGCGAACUGGUGAGUAACACGUGGGAAACCUGCCCUAAAGUGGGGGAUAACAUUUGGAAACAGAUGCUAAUACCGCAUAAAACCUAACACCGCAUGGUGUAGGGUUGAAAGAUGGUUUCGGCUAUCACUUUAGGAUGGACCCGCGGUGCAUUAGUUAGUUGGUGAGGUAAAGGCUCACCAAGACCGUGAUGCAUAGCCGACCUGAGAGGGUAAUCGGCCACACUGGGACUGAGACACGGCCCAGACUCCUACGGGAGGCAGCAGUAGGGAAUCUUCCACAAUGGACGAAAGUCUGAUGGAGCAACGCCGCGUGAGUGAAGAAGGUUUUCGGAUCGUAAAACUCUGUUGUUGGAGAAGAAUGUAUCUGAUAGUAACUGAUCAGGUAGUGACGGUAUCCAACCAGAAAGCCACGGCUAACUACGUG
rnacentral:rRNA from 2 species